UACGUAGGGUGCAAGCGUUAAUCGGAAUUACUGGGCGUAAAGCGCACGUAGGCGGCUUUGUAAGUUAGAGGUGAAAGCCCGGGGCUCAACUCCGGAAUUGCCUUUAAGACUGCAUCGCUAGAAUUGUGGAGAGGUAAGUGGAAUUCCGAGUGUAGAGGUGAAAUUCGUAGAUAUUCGGAAGAACACCAGUGGCGAAGGCGACUUACUGGACACAUACUGACGCUGAGGUGCGAAAGCGUGGGGAGCAAACAGG
rnacentral:rRNA from 1 species